GUCUAUGGCCAUGCUACCCUGAACAAGCCUAAUCCCAUCUGAUCUUGGAAGCUAAGGAGGGUCGAGCCUGUUCAGUACUUAGAUAGGAGACCACCUAGGAAGACCAGAUGCUGGAGACA
ensembl:rRNA 5S_rRNA 5S ribosomal RNA